rnacentral:rRNA from 1 species
UACGUAGGGGACAAGCGUUGUCCGGAUUUACUGGGCGUAAAGAGCGCGCAGGCGGUCGAUCAAGUCGAGUGUGAAAGCCCCCGGCUCAACUGGGGAGGGUCAUUCGAUACUGAUCGACUCGAAGGCAGGAGAGGGUAGUGGAAUUCCCGGUGUAGUGGUGAAAUGCGUAGAUAUCGGGAGGAACACCAGUGGCGAAGGCGACUACCUGGCCUGUUCUUGACGCUGAGGCGCGAAAGCUAGGGGAGCAAACAGG